rnacentral:lncRNA from 1 species
UUUCUGUGCUUUGCUCCCGUGCGUGAGGCGGCUCGUCCUCCCGGCCUGCCGCUCGCUGGCCCGUUGGGCGUCCGGCCUUCCAGAAAUCGCCUCCUCUCCGUGCCGUUCUCCCGCCCAUCCGUCGGCGCGCGCCGCCUGCCCUCCCGCAUUCACUUCUGGCCGUUUGGUAUGCGGCUUCAGUUUCUUCUGCCAUGAUUCCCAACAAUGCCAGUUGCUGCUCCUUGGCAUUCUUCUCCUCCAUUGCUCCUCUAUAUAUUCUUCUUUCUUCCUCCUUGCCUAAAGCCUUCCACCUUCUCUCUGCCGACAGCAAUGAUUGUUGCCUAGGUACAUUCAUAUUUUUUUUCCCAUGCCAUAUGAUAUCUAUCCUCUCCCUUUUCAGCACUAAUCUGCGCCAUAUCAUGGAUUCUGUACUGUUCUUGCGGGAGGGGGUUCCUAAUCUGCUUGGGGGGAUUCCUAAUCUGCUUCUGGUUACAUCCAGGUUCAUCUUAAUUCCUCCUCCCUUCCAAUUACUAACUCUGGCGUUAGAUUUUAAUUUGCACCCUUGAGUUAGCUUCAGGUUGCCAAGUUAGGCAUAUUUGCAAUGCUGCAAGAUAUUUGUAUGGUAUC